UAGCCGUAAACGAUACUCGCUAGGUGUCGGCCACGGUGCGACCGUUGUCGGUGCCGUAGGGAAGCCGUGAAGCGAGCCACCUGGGAAGUACGGCCGCAAGGCUGAAACUUAAAGGAAUUGGCGGGGGAGCACCACAACGGGUGGAGCUUGCGGUUUAAUUGGAUUCAACGCCGGAAAUCUUACCGGGACUGACAGCAACAUGAAGGCCAGGCUGAAGACUUUGCCGGAUUAGCUGAGAGGUGGUGCAUGGCGUAGU
rnacentral:rRNA from 1 species